rnacentral:rRNA from 1 species
CAGCCGCCGCGGUAACACGUAGGGUGCGAGCGUUAAUCGGAAUUACUGGGCGUAAAGCGUGCGCAGGCGGUUGUGUAAGACAGGUGUGAAAUCCCCGGGCUUAACCUGGGAACUGCGCUUGUGACUGCACAGCUAGAGUAUGGCAGAGGGGGGUGGAAUUCCACGUGUAGCAGUGAAAUGCGUAGAGAUGUGGAGGAACACCGAUGGCGAAGGCAGCCCCCUGGGCCAAUACUGACGCUCAUGCACGAAAGCGUGGGGAGCAAACAGGAUUAGAUACCCCAGUAGUCCCUGUCUCUUAUAA